ACACUAAUGAAUAACCAUGUUUAAAUUGUCAUGUUUAUGUUUGUGUUUACUUUCAGUAAUUAAUAUGUCUAUUGACUUUUUCUUUUUAGGUUAUUUCGCUCUGCUUUUCUUCAUUAUCUCUACGCCUCUCUCACUCUCUUUUUUCACCUUCUUUGUGCCAUUGUCUUGAUCCAUUUAUUAGCAAAUUUCAGACUUGUGAUUUCACCAGAGGAUGAAAUCUGCGAGGUGAUCGAAUCGGAUCCCUCUCUUCCAAAUGUAGAGGUAGUCCUAAAAUGUUUUGGAAAUCAAACACAUAGUCAUGUGGUUGGCUACGGUGGUGGAGUGAAGUUCAAACAUUUAAAGGGUCCAUCAACUAAGAAGGCUGAACGCGAAGCUCAACUUCAAGAAGAAAAUCAAUUAUUGAAAAGUCGAUUAAGUGCAUUGGAAGAUAAAUUUCAAAAGUUUGAAGAAAUGGAAGAUAAAUUUCGCAAGUUUGAAGAAAUGUUCGCUGCUCAAGAAAAAAGUGACCAACCAUCAACCUCAUUUCAUACAAUUGAUACCCAACAAAGUUAAUUACACCUAAAAAUGAAUGCUAUUUGAGUGUAAAGAAGGAUCAAGAGUGGGAGUACUUAUUGGUGGACUAAAGAAGAUGAGACAUGAAAUUGCAUCAAUAUAUGUUCAUCAAGAUAAUUUGCAUUUUGAAUCCAUCAGUUUUAGUUGGUUGCUGCAGCUAGUGUUAUUAUGUUGCUAAUGUUUUAAAUUUUUGACUAGUUAUAAUAUGCAUUACAAAACAUGUAGAUA